CUUUUGUUAUUCUUACACUGAUUUCUUACACUUUUUUGUGCUGCUAUUCCUGUAGUAGUCCCUGUUGAGAAACAUGGGCAUGUGCAUCAUUUCACCAUUCAAUAUUUUCUCCACUCAUCAAUAUUUUUUGUGUUAUCUCCCUAUUACUAUUAGUAAGCAAGGCAGAUAUAGAUGGAGAAUAAUGAUUAAUGACAUGUUUUAGGAAAUUACCUUUUACUCACCUUCAUUGAUGUGCAUAGACAUAGAUUCUAUGAGGCUCCUAGUUUUAAUGCCCAGCUCCUCUAACAUUCAGAACUGAGUAGUAUUUCAUCCCAGAGGAAGGAAGCAAGAUAUUCUGUGUGGCUGUAGUUUAUAUCUGGUGGGAUUCACUGUCUUCAACUGUAUGUUCUCUCAUAUUUAUAUAUGUAGGACAUAUAAAUGCACCCAAUUUCACACACCCAUGUAGGAGAAAGAGGAAUUAUUGCACUGAUGAGAUACUUGUGAUGUCCUCUUUCAUGUUUUGCUUCUUUGUUUUCCUUGUUUAUAUACCAGCUCAGAAUCAAAGGAGGGACUCACCCCAUGCAAGAAUUGAGAUGUUAAAUAUGGAGUCACCAUCUCUGUCCUAAAUUUUUGAAUAGUUACACACUUAUACUGCUGUAAACUUUAAAGAUUCAUCCAACUAUUUCUAAUUGCAGAAUAGUAAUCAUUUCUGUGUAUAGCAUAGGGAAUGUUUAUAGUCCCAGAGAAAAUUGGAACCUGUCAUUUUCCUGUUAGCUGAAAGUCAUCUAUGCUUUCCUUAGGAUACUGGUUUUUCUGCAAGUCUAAGAAAGAUACUGGAUACAAACCAAAAGCUAAACAGUGAAAAUGCUACUCUACAGCGAGACAUUGGCACAUUUCAAAAUGAGGUUUUCAUACUACAAGAGGAUAUUAACAGACGGAAAAGGAAAAUGAAUGAGACAAUAAAAUACAUGGAACAUCAAACAAUGUCAGUAAGAGAAGUGACAGAAGAGUUGCUAACAAAUAUACAAAAUGUAAAGUAUUCCAGAUUUCACAGAAUUCAUUCACAACCUAAUGCUGAGGCCUGAUCUCAAGCAAGACACAGUAUUCAGUGAUAGAAUGGAGGCCUGGGGGUUGUAUUCAAAAAGUUCCAGGUUUGGCCCUGAUACGAUGUGUAAAGUAUGUGUAAAGUAUACUCUGCAGUUCAUUUAAAAUAAAGUCAAUUAAUUUUUUAUUGCUUCUUCAA